ACGUCAAGUCAUCAUGGCCCUUAUGACCAGGGCUACACACGUGCUACAGUAGAAAAGACAAAAAGAUGCGAAAAUGUGAAUUAGAGCAAAACUUUAAACUUUUCUGUGUUCGGAUUGUAGGCUGCAACUCGCCUACAUGAAGUCGGAAUCACAAGUAAUCGUAAAUCAGGAACGUUACGGUGAAUUUGUACCUAGAUCUU
rnacentral:rRNA from 1 species